AUUAGUUACAGGUUGGUGUGCAGUGUAGCAUAUUGUGUCUAUAAAAUUAGUUGCUCAUUAUGCAUACAUAAUCCUUUCUACUGCAGGUUUUUUCAAAAGAUAUAACGUUAGCCACGGAGAACUGCAAAUAUGUUGCUACUGCUCUCAAUAACAUUGCUGCCCUGAAUUUAUCAGGCGCUAUCGACAAAGGUCAAUGGGAAAAAGUUGAACGACUACUUUCUGGAGGACGAUCGUGCCAUGCUGACUCUCUCUGACUCUGAAAAAUGGAUCAGACGAUGAGGAAAUCCCUGAUUUAGCAUCAGUAGAACACGCCUGAAUGUUCUAAUGCUUCCCAUCAAAAAGAGAGCUGGCACAAGCAAGCACAGGUUACACCUGAAGCAUGAGGACUUGCAGCAUGUGGUGAACUUCAUCAACAACUACGCAGAGGAUAAUGCAGUAGUAUUACCAGGAUGCCACCCAGGACACAAACACUUUGGCGGAAAGCUGCUGUCAUCCCAUGUGACAAAAGCAGCAGUGUGGCGUCUCUACAAGGAAUCGAUGACAACACACGUUUUGAUUUAUUUAAUUGACCUCCAACAUGAUUGGCACUACUUUUAUUGAUCUCACAUUAUUUAUGUCUCUGGGGGCCCCUACUGAACCAGAAAACAGCCUGGACCUUCACUUCCUGAACACAGGCCACACCAAGUUUGCCCCCGACUGGUGCUUCAGCCUCAUCAAGCAGCGCUUCAGAAAGACCAGAUUGAACACUUUGUCUGAGAUGCCGGUGUUGUGAAGCACAGCACUGUGACAGGUCAACAUCCCACAGCUGGUUGGACUGGAGGAUGAUACGGUGCUGGUGGAAAGCUAUGGUUGGCAACAACACCUGACUCCGUACUUCAGGCUGCUGCCACAGAUCAGCAGUACCAGCACUUCAGCUUCGAUGCUCUGGAGCCUGGUGUUGUUGUCACCAAGGAGCGUUCGGACUGUCAGGACCAAGUUUCAGCUGCUGCGCAAUGCUGACAUCCUUCCUCCCAUAGAUGGUAUGCCUGUACAAUCAUCGCCAGGACUGGACACAGCUAGACAAACUCCUUUUUUUGAGAAGAUCAGGGAGUUUUGCGACGAAGAGGCUAUGGACAUCACAUGUCCUAAACCAAAGUCAAGGGCAGGACAGAAACAGGCUCUCCGAAUAUAGAUUGCCUUGUUCAUACGUGGUUCGGACGGACCAGUCAGCACUAUCUGCAGUGCCUCUAUUCAAAUGACUCACACACACCAUACUUUGCUGCUACUAUUUUUUUUAUCCUGCUGCUCAGUCACUUUACCCCUGAUUGUAUGCAUAUAAUUACCUCGUCUAUCACUGAUAUCGUUAUUGAUAUUGUUCUUGUACAUAAUGUAUAUUAUUUUAUUUAUAUUGAAUAAAUCUAUUUCUUAUAUUGCUACUAUGCAAGUAACCA